rnacentral:rRNA from 1 species
GACGAACGCUGGCGGCGUGCUUAACACAUGCAAGUCGAACGGAAAGGCCCUGCUUUUGUGGGUUUCUCGAUUGGCGAACAGGGGAGUAACACGUGAGUAACCUGCCCUUGACUUUCGGGUAACUUCACGAAACUGGGGCUAAUACCGGAUAGGAUCUCCUGCUGCAUGGUGGUGGUUGGAGAGUGUCGGCGGUUGGGGCUGGUCUCGCGGCUUAUGAGCUUGUUUGUGGGGUAGUGGCUUACCAAGGCUUUGACGGGUAGCCUGCCUGAGAGGGUUAACGGGGACAUUGGGCCUGCGAUAGGGAGCAGAAUCCUACGGGCGGCAGUAGUGGGGAAUCUGGCAGAACGGGCGGACGCGUGAUGCAGCAAUGCCGGGUGCGGGAUGCUGGCCUUUGGGUUGUAAACCGCUUUGGAAUGUGACGAAGCGUGCGUGACGGUAAUGGGUCAAGAAGCACCGGCUAACUACGUG